rnacentral:scRNA from 1 species
UUUCUUCUCUUCAGCGUAUUUUAACACGUCCC